UUAUGGUCACAUAAGCGAUUAAUACUUUAUUUACGCAUCAUGGGGUAAAUCGAUAAAGUUUACAUAUUAUUCAUUUGGGUUAUUAAUGUAAUUUCACAUGCUGUUGAUUAGUAAGAGAAAGAAAUAUUGAAAAAUUUGUAAUAACAAUUGAAUAAAGCUAAAAGGAAACCUAAGCCCUUAUUGCAAAUCUGGAGGUGGCAAAAAGGGGAAGAAACCCUAAAACGAUUGCCGUCCUACCCGAGGAUUU